AGUGAACGCUGGCGGUAGGCCUAACACAUGCAAGUCGAACGGCAGCACAGUAAGAGCUUGCUCUUACGGGUGGCGAGUGGCGGACGGGUGAGGAAUACAUCGGAAUCUACUUUUUCGUGGGGGAUAACGUAGGGAAACUUACGCUAAUACCGCAUACGACCUACGGGUGAAAGCAGGGGAUCUUCGGACCUUGCGCGAUUGAAUGAGCCGAUGUCGGAUUAGCUAGUUGGCGGGGUAAAGGCCCACCAAGGCGACGAUCCGUAGCUGGUCUGAGAGGAUGACCAGCCACCCUGGAACUGAGAGUCGGUCCAGACUCCUGCGGGAGGGAACAGCGAGGAAUAUUGGACAAUGGGCGCAGACCUGAUCCUGCCAUACCGCGUGGAUGAAGAAGGCCUUCGGGUUGUAAAGCCCUUUUGUUGGGAAAGAACAGCAGUAGGUUAAUACCCCGCUGUUCUGACGGUACCCAAAGAAUAAGCACCGGCUAACUUCGUG
rnacentral:rRNA from 1 species